rnacentral:rRNA from 1 species
GACGAACGCUGGCGGUGUGCUUAACACAUGCAAGUCGAACGGAAAGGCCCUGCUUUUGUGGGGUGCUCGAGUGGCGAACGGGUGAGUAACACGUGAGUAACCUGCCCUGGACUUUGGGGUAACUUCAGGAAACUGGGGCGAAUACCGGAUAGGAGCUCCUGCUGCAUGGAGGGGGGGGGAAAGUUUCGGCGGUUGGGGAUGGACUCGCGGCUUAUCAGCGUGUUGGUGGGGUAGUGGCUUACCAAGGCUUUGACGGGUAGCCGGCCUGAGAGGGUGACCGGCCACAUUGGGACUGAGAUACGGCCCAGACUCCUACGGGAGGCAGAAGGGGGGAAUAUUGCACAAUGGGCGGAAGCCUGAUGCAGCAACGCCGCGUGCGGGAUGACGGCCUUCGGGUUGUAAACCGCUUUCGCCUGUGACGAAGCGUGAGUGACGGUAAUGGGUAAAGAAGCACCGGCUAACUACGUG